UACGGGGGGUGCAAACGUUGCUCGGAAUUAUUGGGCGUAAAGCGCGUGUAGGCGGCAGCGUAAGUCAGGUGUGAAAGCCCUGGGCUUAACCCAGGAAGUGCAUCUGAUACUGCGUAGCUCGAGUAUGGGAGAGGGUAGAGGAAUUCCCGGUGUAGAGGUGAAAUUCGUAGAUAUCGGGAGGAACACCAGUGGCGAAAGCGGCUACCUGGACCAAUACUGACGCUGAGACGCGAAAGCGUGGGGAGCAAACAGG
rnacentral:rRNA from 1 species